GGUCAGUGAUGUGAUGUAAAAGGUCUGAAUCUUAGGCUCCGCCCCCCAUCGCCUUCUGGCUCCCAGCAGCCCCUGCUCUCUGCUCCCAUCAUGCUCUAGUGCUGCAGCGGUGGUCCAGCAGUUGCUGACAGACAGGAUGUGACAUCACGCUGGGAGUCUGUGCCGAGAUCCGACAGACUCCCUGUGAUGACGGACAUCCAACAGAACCAAUCAGAACGGAGCGCCAGGCUGAGGGGACAGGGCCUGAGUGGUGAUCUCACUGUUCUACUGAGACC
ensembl:scaRNA